CUCCCCUCACCGCUGCCAUGGCACGUCUCCUUUGCUUGUUCAAUCUUUUCGCCAGCUCUAUGCCUUCUUCUUCCUGCCGCAGAAGAAAACGGAUCCACCGCUUUGACCUUUCUCGUGAUUGUCAUCGUCAACGACGUGAUUGUUUGAAUUCUGCUCCUUUUAUCAUUCAUGCCAAACAAACAUUAUAUAGAUUUUAUCCGGUGUGAAGUGCAAAACAAAACUACAGAUGCAUCAUGCAUGGAAAAUGCAGAGAACAUCAGAUAUUAUCAUAUUAAGAAGGGGCAAAAAAAGGAAAGCUAUGCCGCCCUUCCAAUGUCAAUAUCAUUCUUUAUUUAACACAAUUUUAUCA